UGGUCUAGCAGUACUUCCUUUCAUUCUAAGAUGAGCUUCAGUGAUAGUGUACCUCCAACUGGAUCGUCAAUAGAAAAUUAGAAAUGAAGAAGAAAAUUUAACAUUCAUAUAUUGAAGUUGUUCACUCUGGUCAUUGCUCACACAAAACAGCAAAAAGCAAAUGACAGCUAUCAAGUAACAGAAAAUAGCAAUAGAAAAAAGUAAUAGAUUAUUCCAGAUUAUUAAAUUAAACCUUGCAAAUGAGAUUUAGCUGCCUGAUGAAACUUGUUUAUCUUCUAAUCCCUUCUUAUAAUUAAGAAUUCCUAUUACCGUCUUAAAGGUUUUAAACUAGAAUUCAUUUACAACCACCAAAAAAAAGGUCAAUUGCCAUUUUUUGGAAUACAGUCUGAAAAUGAGACAAAUUCGAUCACAUGAUCAGAGUUGCAGUUCAAAGAAAAAUUAUAGAGAUCUGAGCAACCAUGUUUCAAGUACAUCUUAACCAUGGUUGCACCUUGCAGAAGGUAAAUCAUGAACUCUGCAAGUUACAUCUGUAAGCAAUAGAGCUGAAGGCCCAAUAGCAGAAAUUAGUAGAAACUAGAAGUAAAGUUAAUAUUCCAGAGUCAAUGAGGAAUAAAGAACAAUUCUAUCAAGAGUAGGCAUA
rnacentral:misc_RNA from 1 species